GGAUUAGAUACCCUGGUAGUCCUAGCUGUAAACGAUGGAUACUAGACGUAGGAACUGGAUUGACGGUUUCUGUGUCGUAGCUAACGCGUUAAGUAUCCCGCCUGGGGAGUACGGUCGCAAGACUAAAACUCAAAUGAAUUGACGGGGGCCCGCACAAGCAGUGGAGCAUGUGGUUUAAUUCGAUGCAACGCGAAGAACCUUACCAGGCCUUGACAUCCUCGGAACUUUCUAGAGAUAGAUUGGUGCCUUCGGGAACCGAGUGACAGGUGCUGCAUGGCUGUCGUCAGCUCGUGCCG
rnacentral:rRNA from 1 species